UACAGAGACUGCAAGCGUUAUUCGGAUUCACUGGGCGUAAAGGGUGCGCAGGCGGCCGUGUGUGUCAGGUGUGAAAGCCCGGAGCUUAACUCCGGAAUUGCGCCUGAAACUACAUGGCUAGAGCAUUGGAGAGGGUAGCGGAAUUCACGGUGUAGCAGUGAAAUGCGUAGAUAUCGUGAGGAACACCAGAGGCGAAGGCGGCUACCUGGACAAUUGCUGACGCUCAGGCACAAAAGCGUGGGGAGCAAACAGG
rnacentral:rRNA from 1 species